UAGUUUGCUACUAUCGUGUGUGAAUUUGUAUUGCUUUAAAAAUAUCAAUUCAAGCUAAUAAUAUAUGACCUGAAUAACAAUUUUUUCAAUUUUCAAUUUGAUUGAAUGAAAAAAAUUAAUUCGCCAUGAUAAAAAAUGCUUUUCAGUAACUUCGCAUUCAUUAAUUACCCCACAGUCAACCCCUAAAUUAUUAUUUUUUUGACUAUUGAGUUGCUAAAGGCACCAGCCAUACAUUGCUAUAUGACAUGUAUCAACGACAUCAGUUACAUCCUUAUACGAUUCAGGUGCUUCCUCCAUAACGAGCUUGGGAGAUGCGACCCGUAUAGCAAUUCCCAUUU